rnacentral:tRNA from 1 species
GGUUGUGGCUCAGUGGCAGAGCGCUCGCCUAGCAUGUGUGAGGCCCUGGGUUCAAUCCUCAGCACCA